rnacentral:rRNA from 2 species
AUUGAGAGCUUGCUCUCAUGAUCAGCGGCGGACGGGUGAGUAACACGUGAGCAACCUGCCUUUUCAGUGGGGGACAACAGUUGGAAACGACUGCUAAUACCGCAUAAAGUGUUUUGGGGGCAUCCCCGGAACACCAAAGAUUUAUUGCUGAAAGAUGGCCUCGCGUCUGAUUAGAUAGUUGGUGGGGUAACGGCCUACCAAGUCGACGAUCAGUAGCCGGACUGAGAGGUUGAACGGCCACAUUGGGACUGAGAUACGGCCCAGACUCC